AGUGAACGCUGGCGGCAGGCCUAACACAUGCAAGUCGAACGGCAGCACAGUAAGAGCUUGCUCUUACGGGUGGCGAGUGGCGGACGGGUGCGGAAUACACCGGAAUCUACUUUUUCGUGGGGGCUAACGUAGGAUAACUUACGCUAAUACAGCAUAAGACCUCCGGGUGAAAGCAGGGGACCUUCGGACUUUGCGCGUUUGAAUGAGCCGAUGUCGGGUUAGGUAGUGGGGGGGGUAAAGGCUCACCAAGGGGACGAUCCGUAGCUGGUCUGAGAGCAUGAUCAGGCACACUGGAACUGAGACACGGUCCAGACUCCGACGGGAGGCAGCAGUGGGGAAUAUUGGGCGAUGGGCGAGAGCCUGAUCCAGCCAAACCGCGUAAGUGAUGAAGGAGUUCGGGUGGUAGAGCCAUGUUGUUGGUAGGAAAAAACAGCACUUUAACCCCCCGCUGUAAUGACGGUACCCAAAGAAGAAGCACCGGCUAACUUCGUG
rnacentral:rRNA from 1 species